rnacentral:lncRNA from 1 species
UAAAGGGCCAUAUCAAAUAAAAGGAGGUGCAGAUCAAGUGAGGAGGUGUAUCAAAUGAUAUGUCCUUUCAUGUGGUGCCAUAUUUUAACCAAGUCAACAUCACAUGCUAAUCACAUGUCCGUCACGCCUCACCUCUUGAUCUUUCAUGAUGAUGAUCCAAGGGCUCCAAUGCAAGGCGCCAUUCACCUUGACCCAUUAUGUCUUCAUCCAAUGGUGGGAUUAAGAUCCAAUGGUCAAUUAUGGUAGCCAUCCUUUAACUCAAUCCAAUUGGGUUAAACCAACUCUCCAUUAUGUCUUCAUCCAAUGGUAGAUCAAGAUCUAACGGUCUAGAUUGAAUGAUUUAUUAAAUCUAAUCCAAUUAGACUCAAACCAAGCCAAUUAGGUGCCAACUCUUGGCUAACCCAUAUUAGAACAUGAUCUAAUCAAAUUAGAUC